rnacentral:rRNA from 1 species
UACGUAGGGAGCAAGCGUUGUCCGGAAUCAUUGGGCGUAAAGAGCGUGUAGGCGGUCCUGUAAGUCCGCUGUGAAAGUCAAGGGCUCAACCCUUGAAUGCCGGUGGAUACUGCAGGACUAGAGUCCGGAAGAGGCGAGUGGAAUUCCCAGUGUAGCGGUGAAAUGCGUAGAUAUUGGGAGGAACACCAGUGGCGAAGGCGGCUCGCUGGACCGGUUCUGACGCUGAGGCGCGAAAGCGUGGGGAGCAAACGGG